rnacentral:sRNA from 1 species
UGCACUAAGUAGACGAUGGUGGACUCAUCACUGUAACCGCCGCACGAGAACUUGUUCAACUGCUCGAUGUCGUCAGCUGAAAUAAUAAAGUUGGUCUCAACAGAACAAACAAAAGAUAACAUGGCUUUGACGGACGAUGACGAUGACGUCAGCCUCAUGGCCAUUGUCUUUCGAUAUAAGUGCGCUAAUUAAGCAAAAAAAAAAUGUACAAAAAUGUAUAUCUUUACUGCCGUUUCAUAAUAUAAGCAGAAUGUGA